rnacentral:misc_RNA from 1 species
UGCUCCGGGCAGCGACAGCACCCCCAUCUCGCCUCUUCAUUCGUCGGCACGAGCUCGAGCUCGUCCGCGGUCGGUUAUCCUGUGUUGCAUACCUAUUGUGAGGGCAUUCGGUCGGCUAAAAAUGGUCCCAUCUCCGCCCCGCGUCGCCGCCCCAUGUGGGCGUCCGGYGCGGGGUGGAUCUCACGGCGCGCGUCGCGUCUCGCACCGCAUCCGGCCACGCAUCGUGGGCGCUUGGGUAGGCGAGCCGCGGGGCAUCGCCCGUUGCCUCGGGUACGGAACAUCGGGUGGGUACGGGGCCUCUUCGGCUCCCGAUCGCCACGACAACGCGUUCUACGCUUCUUGCGAACGACCGUCGGGUCGGUCCUGCCGCAUGCACCCGUGCAUCGGUCGGGGCCGCUCCGGCGUCGGUGAGGGAUGCUACCU